rnacentral:lncRNA from 1 species
UUAGAGUUCACUAAAUGGAUACCUCUAAAUUAGUCUAACAAAAAAAAUUUAUAGUCCACCAUAUUUGUCAAUUGGGUAAUUUUGGUUCUUCUAGUUUAAAAUGAACGAUUUUAGCCCCUAACAGUUACCUCCUUUCUAAGAUUGUAGUCCCCCACUAAUUUCCUCCAUUACAUGAGAUUAUAUCCUCCAGCAGUAAAGUCAUCGUCGGCAUUGAAAGUCGUUGAUGUACCGUUUACCAUUUAUUCAACAGAAUAUACAUCCUUGGAAUAACUGUUGUCGAUCACAACAACUCUAUCAACAUAUUUGAAUACAUCCACGUCAUCAACCAAGUUGUCAGUGUCAUCAUCAUCGCUUAUCGCAGCAUCGGUAUCAUGUCGAAGAAGAUGUUGAUUUUUUUAGGUGUGCAGUUCUCCAUGGUAUAAAUGGAUGAUUAAACAAAGAUGUUAAUCUUGCUAAAUAAGGGAAUUUAAUCAGGUUUGAUUUUAACAUGGUGGUAGAAGAUUGAUUAGAGUUGCUGCACAAAUUUGGUUGGCACCGCCAAAGGUCGAUUGACUUUUCUAGGUUUUAAAUUGAGGAAAUGAAGAAGGGAAAGAAAAGAAAGUUGC